rnacentral:rRNA from 1 species
AUUGAACGCUGGCGGCAGGCCUAACACAUGCAAGUCGAGCGGAUGAAGGGAGCUUGCUCCUGGAUUCAGCGGCGGACGGGUGAGUAAUGCCUAGGAAUCUGCCUGGUAGUGGGGGAUAACGUCCGGAAACGGGCGCUAAUACCGCAUACGUCCUGAGGGAGAAAGUGGGGGAUCUUCGGACCUCACGCUAUCAGAUGAGCCUAGGUCGGAUUAGCUAGUUGGUGGGGUAAAGGCCUACCAAGGCGACGAUCCGUAACUGGUCUGAGAGGAUGAUCAGUCAAACCGAAGAGGGGAAAGGCCACAGUACCAAGCGGGGGGACGAUGUGGGGAAAUUUAGACAGGGGGCGAAACCCGAACCAAACAUGGCCGCGUGUGGGAAGAAGGUUUUCGGUUUUGAAACCCAUUUAAGUGGGGGGCAAGGGGGGAAAGUUAAUCCCUUGCUGUUUGGGCGUUCCCAAAAAAAAAAGCACGGCCUAACUUCGU